GCCGACGCCCUCCACCCCGCGGGCCGCCGGCGUGCGCGCGCCCGCUAUCGACGCCGCGGCGCUCCCCUGUCCCCGCCAGCGUGCGCGCACCCGCCGCCGACGCCGCGGCGCUCUCCGGAGCCGGGCAGCGUGCGCGCUCCCGUCGCCGGCGCGCUGAAGCGUGGGAAGGUGCCGCGGUGACCGGGCUCUGCGGCCGGGGCGCGUAGAGUUCUCAGGUUUGGCCUCAGAUAAAUUCUUCCAAGGUCUAGACCAAGAGUGAGGAGCAGACAAGCCCAACCGAUGUGAACACCAAGCCUGGUUGUCCAGUGUCAUCUUCGCUGGGAAUUAAGAGAAAGAGAGCAUGAGCGAGGGAGGGGCAGAGAGAGGGGGAGACACAGGAUCCAAACCAGGCUCCGGGCUCUGAGCUGCCGGCACAGAGCCCGACGCGGGGCUCGAACUCACAGACCGCGAGAUCAUGACCUGAGCCGAAGCCGGAUGCUCAACCGACUGAGCCACCCAGGUGCCCCCAAAAUACUUGUUAAGUAGAAAAUUUCAAGCCUACUGCAGAGUAUAAAAUGGUAUAAUCAGUUCUUGUUACCCAUCAGCUAGCUUCAGUGAUUGUCACCUUAUGGCCACUUGUGUGACUCAUGCCCCAUCCAUUAACCAUUCUCCCCAUUAUUGUGAAGCAAACUCCAGACAUCAUUUCAUCUGUAAAUAUGUCAGUAUGUAUCUCUUAAAAGGGGGGGGGGGGGGGGGUAAGACAUCGUUAUAUCAUUAUCACCCUACAAAAAUUAACAAUAGUUUUCAAGGAUAAACUGGACUGUGAAAGAUUCCCCACCGUGUGUGCUGAUCCUGAAACCUGACGCCUGAGACAACGAACGUGAUUCUGGUUCACUUCGUGAAUGGUCCUACUUUCUGUUCUAGACUGCACCUCCUCGAGAGCUAAGGAGCCAGUUAGCUCACUUGGGGGCCUAGUGUAGUGCUGUAUAAUAGGCUCCCAAAUAUUUGUGCAUUAAAAUUGAUGAUUACCAAAAGACAAUGGAAAAAGGUAGGUUAAAAUCACAUAACUGUUACACAGCUAACGUGCAAAAUACUGACAACACCAGAUGCUGGCAGGGAGGUGGAGAAGCCCAACCUCCCAUAUGGAAAGUGUUACAGGCAUUCUAGGAAAGAGUUCGGUCGUUGCUUUUUUCUUUUAUUUAUUUAUUUGUUUGUUUAAUUUAUUUUUUAAACUUCGAGUGCAAGUGGGGGACAGUGGCAGAGGGAGAGAGAAAGAAAGAGAGUCUCAAGCAGACUCCAUGCCCAGCGUGGAGCCCGACCAGGGCUCGAUCUCAUGACCAUGAGAUCAUGACCUGAGCCAAAAUCAAGAGCGUUUCAUUCAACCUGCUGAGCCACCUGGGCACCUCGAUCAUUUCUUUUUUUAAAAAAAAAAAAAAAGAAACAAUGCUUACCGUGCACGCCCAGCACUUGUCUUCCUGCACAUUUAUCCCAGGAAAUCAAAAUUUAUGUCCGCGUAACAUGUAUACGUAAAUGUUCACGUCAGCUUUUUCUAUCAACUGAAUCCAGGAACAACUAAAAUAUCCUCCAAAGGGUGGUGGUCAGUCCACGUGUGGUGCGUCUACACCUCGGAUGUGACUCAGCAGUGAUGAAAGAAUCCACUGACUCACAGGGCACCGGUGCUCUCGGGAUGAUGCUGGAUGGAUGGAAAGGCCACUCCCAGAGAUCCCAUGCAUAAAGGAUGAUUCCGUCUUUUUGGCAAAAUGACAAAAUCAUGGAGCCAGACAGAGACUAGUGCUGGUCACAUGAAUCCACGUGGGAUAAGAUGACACAGAACCAUGAGUACACACCACACCAGUGUCAGCAGCCGCUUGGUUUGGACAUUGUCCUAUAAUUAGCCAAGGCUCUAAGCAGCAGUGAGCCUGAAGGAAAAUCCAGAAACACGCAGGCCUUGUUCAGAGCUCUCCGUGUGCAGCCAGACCCCACAGCAGUCAGCUGUAACUCCAACAAGAUCUAAGCAGGUGGGCAAGUGUUCACCGUCGAUGAGGAGUGGCUAACCCUGGGAGGGCAGUCCUCCAGGGUCGCGAGGCCCCAGAUGUCAAAGUAUCAGAACACAGAAGAUAAAAGAUACGGUUAAUACAGAGAACUGAGGCCUCUGGCCAACAACCAGAAGAGGGUGGCAUCUUGGAAAUGGCCCCUCCAGCCACGGUUGAGCCUUCAGAUGAGAACCAUCUUGACUGCAAGCUCCUAAGAGACCCUGAGGGAGAACCACCAGGCUAAGCCAUUCCCACAUUUCUGACUCGCAGACACCGAGAUACUAAAUGUUCAUCGUUUGAAGUCACUAGAUGUUGGGGUAAUUUGCCAGGCAGCAAUACGGCACUAGGACAGAUCUGGUCUGUGCAGCGUGAACAAGGCCAGGAUCGUGGGUCUGGCACCAGGCAAAGCUGUCAAGCUGGAUCCUAGCACUGCCAUUUAUGGUACUCAGACCCUGAUACACAAGCUCUCCAGAAAAGAUUCCAGAGCCAAUUUCUAGUCAGUUCCAGAGGUUUCCAGAUGGAGGUGCUGGUGGGGCUGGAGGGCUGUGUGUCUGUGUCUGCUCUGCUACAAAGACAUUCACCUGGUUUGAAUUUUCUUAAAUGUUUAUUCUUGAGAGAGAGA